rnacentral:rRNA from 2 species
GACGAUGAACCACUUCGGUGGGGAUUAGUGGCGAACGGGUGAGUAACACGUGGGCAAUCUGCCCUGCACUCUGGGACAAGCCCUGGAAACGGGGUCUAAUACCGGAUACUGACCCGCUUGGGCAUCCAAGCGGUUCGAAAGCUCCGGCGGUGCAGGAUGAGCCCGCGGCCUAUCAGCUUGUUGGUGAGGUAAUGGCUCACCAAGGCGACGACGGGUAGCCGGCCUGAGAGGGCGACCGGCCACACUGGGACUGAGACACGGCCCAGACUCCUACGGGAGGCAGCAGUGGGGAAUAUUGCACAAUGGGCGAAAGCCUGAUGCAGCGACGCCGCGUGAGGGAUGACGGCCUUCGGGUUGUAAACCUCUUUCAGCAGGGAAGAAGCGAAAGUGACGGUACCUGCAGAAGAAGCGCCGGCUAACUACGUGCCAGCAGCCGCGGUAAUACGUAGGGCGCGAGCGUUGUCCGGAAUUAUUGGGCGU